GUGGGGAAUAUUGGACAAUGGGCGAAAGCCUGAUCCAGCCAUGCCGCGUGUGUGAAGAAGGUCUUCGGAUUGUAAAGCACUUUGAGUUGGGAGGAAGGGCAUUAACCUAAUACGUUAGUGUUUUGACGUUACCGACAGAAUAAGCACCGGCUAACUUCGUGCCAGCAGCCGCGGUAAUACGAAGGGUGCAAGCGUUAAUCGGAAUUACUGGGCGUAAAGCGCGCGUAGGUGGUUCGUUAAGUUGGAUGUGAAAGCCCCGGGCUCAACCUGGGAACUGCAUCCAAAACUGGCGAGCUAGAGUACGGUAGAGGGUGGUGGAAUUUCCUGUGUAGCGGUGAAAUGCGUAGAUAUAGGAAGGAACACCAGUGGCGAAGGCGGCGACCUGGUCCAUUACUGACGCUGAGGUGCGACAGCGUGGGGAGCAAACAGGAUUAGAAACCCGAGUAGUCC
rnacentral:rRNA from 1 species